AAAUGAUGUGAAUGCUGCAGGGCAGAAGAGUGCUGGAGCUGCAUUGUGUUUUCUCUGUGUUUGUGAAUGUGUUGUGUUUGUCUCCUGCAGCUGGUCCCACAGUGAAGCCCUCAGUGUCUCUGCUGCCGCCCUCUUCUCUGCAGAUCUCUGGAGACUCAGCCGCACUGCUCUGUCUGCUCAGCUCUUACUCUCCACAGGGGGCGCUGGUGAGCUGGACACUGGACGGCUCAGAGGUCACCGAGGGGGUUGUGACCAGCGCAGAGAGCGAGCAGGACGGCCGCUACAGCCGCAGUAGUGUCCUGACCCUCAGCAAAGCACGCUGGGAAGAGGGAGAGCUGUACGUCUGCAGAGUAACACAUGAUGGAGCUCCUCAUGAAGCCUCGUUCCACAAGAGUCGCUGUUAGUCGCUCGCAGUGCUGAUGUUUCUCCAGUGAGCGCUGCUCUCUCCUGAAGAUGAACGUAUCUGAGUGUCCUGUGUCAGGCAGGAUUCACAUGAGUCUAGUGCUGCAGCUGUAGUCAUUUACAACUCAAUACUGAAAGAGAGCUCUAGUGUCAAAGCACUGGCUGAUCUUUCAAUCUGCUGUGUUUGCUGCAACAUUCAA